UUUCGACCUCCUAUAUAAAUCUAAACCUUCUCUUCAGUCCUGGUGGCACACCCAUUUUCCAACAUGUUUUUCUCUCUCGUCCGACCCCCGUUUGCCAAGCUGAGACCACCAACAUGCUCAUGGAAGAGAGACGAACCAGCCACCGUACCCAAUUCUUCUCUCACGAGAAUCGCCACCGCGUGCACUGCCGCAUCUUCAUCUUCACAGCCGGUCCUGUUCUGGAAAGUAUUCAAAAUUGCUUUUUUAGAGUCUCUGUGACUCUUGUUGGAUGUCUGGAUCUUGAUGGUGAGGUCCAGAAAGAAAGAUUCAAGCUAGAGAGGAGGGAACAUGGUCUUUCUCUUCUCGACCACCGUGACUACAACCUUCAUGGUGUGUAGUUUUCUUCCCCUGACUCUGAGCAUGUGGUUCACAGAUUGUGUGAAGCUUAUAAGUGACUAAAGUUUAAGGGUAAGGGUAGGGGAAACCAAGCUAUGGUUUUUAUAAUGAGAACUUGGAUUAUUAUGGUUUGACAACCUUGAACUAUGAUAUUCUCAUGAAAAUAAUAACGUAAGUUUAUGUUGUGGUGGAGAAAUCUUAAGAAGAUAUAUGAUCUUGAUGAUGUCUGAUCGAGGAUAUGUGACGUUGAUGAGUCAUGUGAAUUCUGAGAUUUUUCAAAUGUAUAUAUGUAUGUUUAUGUGGUUUAUGAUUUGGAUUAUCUUAAUGUCUUAUGGAUUUACCUUGGCUUCAUGAGUAAGGUAAUGUUUAUGGAUAAGCAUUGGCUCCAUGAGCAAGCUUACAUGCAAUGUGUCUUUCUGACUCUAUGAACAGAGACGUUUUUUGAUAAAUGUUCCCUGGGUCUGUGAGCAAGGAUAUGCACAAUUUAUUUCCUCUUGGCUCUGUGAGCAAAGAUGAUUCUAAUGAAUUGUCUUGGUCCUGUGGACAAGAUUUGCUUUGGCCCCGUGAGCAAAGUCAUUGGUUCUUAUGAUUGAUUACCAUGGAUAUUUUGGUGGAACUGAUCAUGAUAUGUCUUCUUAUGUGUAGCUCAUUUAUGUUAUGUUAUUCCCUAAAGGGAUUGUGUUGAAUUGCUUCUCACCCCUUUGUUGUUUGUUUUGUUGUUUUCUCCUCUUCUAUCGAUGUCGGGCAUACUAUGAAGAUGGAGAUUGUGCUGCUGAGAGACGUGGGGCAUGACUUUAGGUGUAGAUUGAAUUUUGUGUGCCAAAGCUAUUAAGUCGUGGAAGCUAUCAGUGGUCUCAUCCAGCAGCAGCUAGGUGCUCCUCCUCCUUCAGCAGGUGGUGCUCCUCCUCCUCCAGCAACAACAGGUGCGUGGUGAGGCAGUAGUGACCUAUACCUGUAGUACAACCACAACGCCCCCAUCAGAAUUAGUAACAAGGCUACUGCUAGGGUGAUGCUAACCAUAGGGAGCCACAACCACAUUUUGUGGUGGUGGCCACCGCCUCGGCUCAGGUCUGGAUUUUCGAAUGUGGUUGUAGGGAAAUUGGUUGAUGACAGGAGGAAGUGGUGCUAGGGCCAACAUUAGGAGAGAUUCUGUUAGAAGAACAAGAAGACGGUAGUUUCUCUGGUAAUUCAAGACUUCUGUAUCAGAAUGUAAUACCACAUAAACAAAUAUUUAAAUUAUAGUUCUAGUUGUCAAAGAUAAUACAGCUAUAAAUCAAAACAUUGAAUAACAUUCGUUGAAUUCCAACAAGCAAAAAUAAAAUUAUCAAGAAUUAUAGGUCAAAAAGGCAAGUACAUUCUUGUAAUGACUUUUCAAGUUAAUAGAGUAA